AUUAUUAUAGUCAAAAUAUGUUUCUUUUGUGCUCCUAAAAACCGAAUCGUGCUUUAAUCAUGGUGCCUAGAAUCUGUACUGCUUUACCAGUGAUCUUAUUUAUAUUUUAAUACAUUCCACAGUAAUGCAGCUCAAGAGCUUCAGAAGCGCAAUUGCAUUGUGUAGAAAUAACAGCAGCUUGGGUUUCUUUUGUGCUCCUAAAAACCGAAUCGUGCUUUAAUCAUGGUGCCUAGAAUCUGUACUGCUUUACCAGUGAUCUUAUUUAUAUUUUGAUACAUUCCACAGUAAUGCAGCUCAAGAGCUUCAGAAGCGCAAUUGCAUUGUGUAGAAAUAACAGCAGCUUAAUUAUUGGUCUUAUUAGGAGACCAAUAUUUGAACUAAAAUGUUACAAUGUGAAAGAAAUGCUGUGAAGGAAAUGAAAUAGAGAGUACAGAAAUAAUUUGUUGAUGAAACACACGCUUUAUCUGAGGAUACAAGUGGUGGAUGAACUGAUCCGAUUCCCAGCAUUUUUACUGAGACAAACUGUGUUAUAAAAAAUGUACAGACGGAAUCAAAUACUAACAUUUGUGACUCCGUUGGCUCAAGGCAUGAGAUUUCUUCUUAGGAUUAAGUUAUAACUUACAUUUCUGGUCCCAGAACAUUAAAAAUAUGUAUUCUUUUCUGACUACCAUUCCUCUCAAAAGAAGAUUAACCCAAAAAGACAAAUAUAAAUCAUCUUUUAUAUUGUCCUCUCAAUAUAAUUGUCCUCUCAAAAUUCAGAGAGGUGUGAAACGUGGAUUUAGUCUAAUAUUAAUCUGCAGCACGUGAUUUUUAAAAUGUUUUUUAAAAGAUCUUUGAGGAAGAAUAUUUUACUAAGACCUGUGUUAUCUCGAUUCCUUAAGAUCUGUUUUUUGAACCCUCCUGCAGCCAGAACUUCUGCUGGGAUUCAUCUCGCCCAAUUUCAGACUUUUAAACCAUGAGAUGCCUAAAGAAAUGCCAGGCCUGGGGUUAUUGGUCUCCAGCAUGAAUCAAGUGGAAUUUCCCAGAAAGCUGUCUACAGGAGGUUUUAGGGAGGAUGGGGUUAAUGCUGCCUGGGAGAGCAGGUUCGGGUCCUGCCAUACCCUGGAGCAGUGGCUCAACCUGCCCAACAGAAAACAGAGAUUUCCACUUGGGACGAUUAGAGGGAAUAAAUAA
rnacentral:lncRNA from 1 species